rnacentral:rRNA from 1 species
AACGCUGGCGGCGUGCCUAACACAUGCAAGUCGAGCGGUAACAGGUGUAGCAAUACAUGCUGACGAGCGGCGAACGGGUGAGUAAUGCUUCGGAAUCUACCCAAUGGUGGGGAAUAACCAGCCGAAAGGUUGGCUAAUACCGCAUACGUCCUACGGGAGAAAGCAGGGGAUCGUAAGACCUUGCGCCAAUGGAUGAGCCGAAGUCGGAUUAGCUAGUUGGUAGGGUAACGGCCUACCAAGGCGACGAUCCGUAGCUGGUCUGAGAGGACGACCAGCCACACUGGGACUGAGACACGGCCCAGACUCCUACGGGAGGCAGCAGUGGGGAAUAUUGGACAAUGGGGGAAACCCUGAUCCAGCGACGCCGCGUGUGUGAAGAAGGCCUGCGGGUUGUAAAGCACUUUUAGUGGGGAUGAAAAGUUCAGGGCUAAUAUCCCUGGAUCUUGACCUAACCCACAGAAAAAGCACCGGCUAACUCUGUGCCAGCAGCCGCGGUAAUACAGAGGGUGCAAGCGUUGAUCGGAAUUACUGGGCGUAAAGCGUGCGUAGACGGUUACAUAAGUCGGAUGUGAAAGCCCCGGGCUCA